AACGAACGCUGGCGGCAUGCCUAACACAUGCAAGUCGAACGAGACCUUCGGGUCUAGUGGCGCACGGGUGCGUAACGCGUGGGAACCUGCCCUUAGGUUCGGAAUAACUCCCCGAAAGGGGUUCUAAUACCGGAUAAUGUCUUCGGACCAAAGAUUUAUCGCCUUUGGAUGUGCCCGCGUUGGAUUAGCUAGUUGGUAGGGUAAAAGCCUACCAAGGCGACGAUCCAUAGCUGGUCUGAGAGGAUGAUCAGCCACACUGGGACUGAGACACGGCCCAGACUCCUACGGGAGGCAGCAGUGGGGAAUAUUGGACAAUGGGCGAAAGCCUGAUCCAGCAAUGCCGCGUGAGUGAUGAAGGCCUUCGGGUUGUAAAGCUCUUUUACCCGGGAUGAUAAUGACAGUACCGGGAGAAUAAGCUCCGGCUAACUCCGUG
rnacentral:rRNA from 1 species